AACUAAAUAGUUUAAUAUAAAAUAUAUGGUUUGCAUUCAUAUGACAGAAUAAUUUCUUUUAGUUG
rnacentral:tRNA from 1 species